GGGGCCCGCACAAGCGGUGGAGCAUGUGGUUUAAUUCGACGCAACGCGAAGAACCUUACCAGGGCUUAACAUCCCCUGACCGCGUAUGAAAGUACGUUUUCACCCUCGGGUGACAGGGAGACAGGUGGUGCAUGGUUGUCGUCAGCUCGUGUCGUGAGAUGUUGGGUUAAGUCCCGCAACGAGCGCAACCCCUACGUUUAGUUGCUAACGCGUGAAGGCGAGCACUCUAGACGAACUGCCGUUGACAAAACGGAGGAAGGUGGGGAUGACGUCAAAUCAUCAUGCCCCUUAUGUUCUGGGCUACACACGUGCUACAAUGGCCGGUACAGACGGACGCAAAGCCGCGAGGUGGAGCAAAUCCGAAAAAGCCGGUCUCAGUUCGGAUUGCAGGCUGCAAUUCGCCUGCAUGAAGUCGGAAUCGCUAGUAAUCGCAGGUCAGCAUACUGCGGUGAAUACGUUCCCGGGCCUU
rnacentral:rRNA from 1 species